CCUACGGGGGGCAGCAGUGGGGGAUAUUGGACAAUGGGGGAAACCCUGAUCCAGCGACGCCGCGGGAGUGAAGAAGUAUUUCGGUAGGUAAGGCUCUGUCAGCAGGGAAGAAAGAAAUGACGGUACCUGACCAAGAAGCCCCGGCUAACUACGUGCCAGCAGCCGCGGUAAUACGUAGGGGGCAAGCGUGAUCCGGAAUUACUGGGUGUAAAGGGAGGGUAGACGGUGAUGCAAGUCUGGAGUGAAAGGCGGGGGCCCAACCCCCGGACUGCUCUGGAAACUGUGUAACUUGAGUGCAGGAGAGGUAAGCGGAAUUCCUAGUGUAGCGGUGAAAUGCGUAGAUAUUAGGAGGAACACCAGUGGCGAAGGCGGCUUACUGGACUGUAACUGACGUUGAGGCUCGAAAGCGUGGGGAGCAAACAGGAUUAGAUACCCGAGUAGUC
rnacentral:rRNA from 1 species